CCUACGGGUGGCAGCAGUGAGGAAUAUUGGUCAAUGGACGGAAGUCUGAACCAGCCAUGCCGCGUGAAGGAUGACGGCCCUAUGGGUUGUAAACUUCUUUUUUCUGGGGCUAAAACAGUCUAUGCUUACCCGCCUGUAAUUACCAUAUGAAUAAGGAUCGGCUAACUCCGUGCCAGCAGCCGCGGUAAUACGGAGGAUCCAAGCGUUAUCCGGAUUUAUUGGGUUUAAAGGGGGCGUAGGUGGAUUGUUAAUUCAGGGGUGAAAGUUCCCGGCUAAAGUGGAGAAGUGCCUUUGAUACUGGUAGUCUGGAGUGCAGAUGCGGUGGGCGGAAUGUGUGGUGUAGCGGUGAAAUGCUUAGAUAUCACACAGAACACCGAUUGCGAAGGCAGCUCACGAAUCUGCAACUGACGCUGAUGCACGAAAGCGUGGGUAUCAAACAGGAUUAGAUACCCGAGUAGUC
rnacentral:rRNA from 1 species